UGACUCAACAGAUUGUCACCAAACAUUUGUCUUCAGGAGACUGUUUUUAUCUAUCAAAAAAAAUUAGGGGCAGGGCACAGUGGCUCACGUCUGUAAUCCCAGCACUUUGGGAGGCUGAGACAGGUGGAUCACGAGGUCAAGAGAUCGAGACCAUCCUGGUCAACAUCGUGAAACUCUGUUUCUACUAAAAACACAAAAAAAUUAGCUGGGCACUGUGGCAUGUGCCUGUAAUCCCAGCUAUUCAGGAGGCUGAGGCAGGAGAAUUGCCUGAACCCAGGAGGCGGAGGUUGCCGUGAGCCGAGAUCGUGCCAUUGCUCUCCAGUCUGGGUAACAACAGCGAAACUCCAUCUCAAAAAAAAAGAAAAGAAAAGAAAAAAAAGUUAAUAACUUGUCAUUGACAGGUUGCUAUGAGCCAGGACCCACGGUAUACUUGUCACCCGCAUUGUACAGAUGAGAAAGCUGAGCCUCCAAGCUUCCACGCUCUGGCAUGAUCAAGGUCCCAUAGCCAGUUUAUGGUGGAGCUGGGACCAUCUGAUCCAAGUCCAAGCUUUGGUUUUCUGUGGUUGUUCAUGUAGUAGACUGGUCUUCCUGGGCAUAGUAUCACCUGUCCUGUACCCCUUCUCUAGAGGUGCCAUGAUGUGUGUUGUGCCAGUAACUGGGAGUCUCCUGGCAUUUUAAGCCCAGGGAUGCUAAAUAUCCUUCAAGGCUCUGGAUAGCUCUCCUCAGUAAAGAGCUGACUCACCUCCAAUUCUAAGUGUGCCCCUAUUGAGAAGCUCCAGAACCAAAUCUUGUCAUUUACUUGAGUGAUGUGGCAUGGGGCCAGCCUGGGAAGCCAGGGUCACCGUGCCUGCCAUUGGAAGCAGCCAUGCAAGAUGGAGUUGGACAAGGCAUGGCUUCUGUCCCCAAGGGGUUGGUGGUCAGCCACAGCACCCACCUCCUGAGAGAAGAUUUCAGGGGACAGAAUUGGGACUUUGGAAAUAGGCAAGCCAGGGUUUCAAUCACAGCUGGAGCACUCUAGGUGGAGUGAGCUUUCCUUGUUCUCCUCUUGAGGAAAAUAGAGGCAAUAAUACCAUCCUAAUCAGCUGUGGUGAGGAUUAGAGAAUUUAGCACAGGGUUGGGGGGUGUCAGGCACAGGUAGGUGCUCUCUGAGUUCAGCAAAGGGCCUGGGUGGAUACUGAAGCUUCGGAGAGGAGACACAGGUGGAGCCAAGCCCUGCCAGGGGUUUUGGAUUGAAGGAUAUGCUAGGCAGGGGAAACAACUUGAGUGAAGGUGGGCAACAUCUAUUCAAAAGCAGGCUGGGUGUGAUGGCUUACACCUGUAAUCCCAGCACUUUGGGAGGCUGAGGUAGGCAGAUCACCUGUGAUCAGGAGUUUAGGACCAGCCUGGCCAACAUGGUGAAACCCCGUCUCUACAGAAAUACAAAAAUUAGCCAGGCAUGAUGAUAGGUGCCUAUAAUCCCAGCUACUUGGAAGGCUGAGGCAGGAGAAUCACUUGAACCCAGGAGGCAGAGGUUGCAGUGAGCCAAGAUCAUGUCAUUACACUCAAGCCUAGGUGACAGAGUGAGACUCCAUCUCAAAAAAAAAAAAAAAAAAAAAAAUUAGCCGGCCAUGGUGGUGUGCACCUGUAAUCCCAGCUACUUGGGAGACUGACGCAGGAGAAUCACUUGAACCUGGGAAGUGGAGGUUGCAGUGAGCCUAGAUUGUGCAAUUGCUCUCCAGCCUGGGUGACAGAGUAACAGAGAGAGACUCUGUCUCAGAAAACAAAAACAGAGGAUGACUGGACAAAGUGGCUCAUGCCUGUAAUCCAACCUAUAAUCCCAGCACUUUAGGAGGCUGAAACUUGAGCCCAUGAGUUCAAGUCCAGUCUGGGCAACAUACGGAGACCCCAUAUCUUAAAAAAAAAAAAAAAAAAAAAAAAAAAAAAAAAAAAAGGCCGGGCUCGGUGGCUCAAGCCUGUAAUCACAGCACUUUGGGAGGCUGAGGUGGGUGGAUCACGAGGUCAAGAUAUCGAGACCAUCCUGGUCAACAUGGUGAAACCCCGUCUCUACUAAAGAUAAAAAAAUUAGCUGGGCAUGGUGGCGCGUGCCUGUAAUCCCAGCUACUCAGGAGGCUGAGGCAGGAGAAUUGCCUGAACCCAGGAGGCGGAGGUUGCAGUGAGCCGAGAUCGCGCCAUUGCACUCCAGCCUGGGUAACAAGAGCGAAACUCCGUCUCAAAAAAAAAAAAAAAAGCAAAGGAUUUGAGAGCUAGGGGUGGUGGCAUUCACCCUAGAGUUCCAGCUACUCAGAAGGCUUAGGCAGGAGGAUCACUUGAGCUCAGGAGUUUGAGGCUUCUGGGUGACAAAGCAAGACCCUAUCUCUAAAAAAAGAGUAAAGGAGGGAAGGUGGAGGCUACCAAGCCUGGAUUCAGGCCAGCUCCAAAGGCCAGACUGAGGAGGCUUUGGACUUUGUCCAGCAUUACCACAGGCUGCUGGGCAGAGCUGGUCCAGUGGGAGUUGGGGGACAGUGGCAUACCUGACAUCAGCCCCUGGGUUAUUGACAUCAGCCCCUGGAAUGCAUCACUGACCCAUUCCCGGUGCCCAGGGGUCAUUCACUGCCUUCAGGUCAAGCAAAUGGCCAGUAGCUGCCCAGGCUGAUGGAGGUGUGUGUCAGAGGAGGGCACAGGCCACUGGCCCUCAGCCCCUGGCCUGCCUGGCCUGACAGCAGGGAGGCCUCAGCUCUUAGAUACCUGGGAGCUCCCCCAGAAGGGUCUCAGGCACACGAAUGGUCCACAGCCCUGGUGGUGCUGGGCCUCCUUGGUGCUGCCAGAGCAUCUGAGUUACCUCCACUGCAGCAAUUCUCCCACAGAUUUUUUUUUUUUUCCUUGAGAUGGAGUCUUGCUCUGUCACCCAGGCUGGAGUGUAGUGGCACAAUCUUGGCUUACAGUAAACUCUGUCUUCCAGGUUCAAGCAAUUCUCCUGCCUCAGCCUCCUGAAUAGCUGAGAUUACAGGUGCCCACCACCACGCCCAGCUAAUUUUUGUAUUUUUAGUAGAGACAGGGUUUUGCCAUGUUGGCCAGGCUGUUCUCAAACUCCUGACCUCAGGUGAUCCUCCCACCUCCGCUUCCCAAAGUGCUGGGAUUACAGGUGUGAACCACCUCAUCAGUGAGCCAAGAUCACGCCACUGCACUCCAGCUUGGGCAACAGAACAAGACUCAUCUCAAAACCAAAAACCAAAAAACAAACAAACAAAUGGAUCAUAAAUGGAAUAAUGGAAGAAAUAGUUAGCUGUGGGGAUGUCAAUAGCUGUUCACUGUUUGGGAAACUUGAGAUCUGCUGCCAGAGAAACUUCAUGAAGGCAAACUUACCAACAUAAAUGAGGAAGGUGGUUCUAAAGAAAAAGAUGAUGACCCAGAGGAAAUAACAUCAGCAAAAACUUGGCUUAAAUUAAAGGAACUGCCAGGCCGGGCGCGGUGGCUCAAGCCUGUAAUCCUAGCACUUUGGGAGGCCGAGGCGGGUGGAUCACGAGGUCAAGAGAUCGAGACCAUCCUAGUCAACCUGGUGAAACCCCGUCUCUACUAAAAAUACAAAAAAUUAGCUGGGCAUGGUGGCGCAUGCCUGUAAUCCCAGCUACUCAGGAGGCUGAGGCAGGAGAAUGCCUGAACCCAGGAGGCGGAGGUUGUGGUGAGCCGAGAUCGCGCCAUUGCACUCCAGCCUGGGUAACAACAGCGAAAUUGUCUCAAAAAAAAAAAAAAAAUUAAAGGAACUCCCUAGGCCAGGCACAAUGGCUCAUGCCUGUAAUCCCAACACUUUGGGAGGCCGAGGUGGGCGGAUUACUUGAGGUCAGGAGUUCCAGACCAGCCUGGCCAACAUGGUGAAACUGCAUCCCUGGGCUGGGUGUGGUGGCUCAUGCCUGUAAUCUUAGGACUUUGGGAGGCCAAGGCGGGUGGAUCACCUGAGGUCAGGAGUUCGAGAGCAGCCUGACCAACAUGGAAAAACCCCUUCUCUUCUAAAAAUACAAAAUUAGCCGGGCAUGGUGGUGCAUGCCUGUAAUCCCAGAUACUCAAGAGGCUGAGUCAGGAGAAUCCCUUGAACCCAGGAGGCAGAGGUUAUAGUGAGCCAAGAUUGUACCACUGCACUCCAGCCUGGCUGACAGAACAAGACUAUCUCACACACACAAAAAAGGAACUCUCAGAGGUAUUUUACAACACUAAAAGCACAAAGGAUGACUAAGGAUGACUUGUAUUCACUAAGACACAGAAGAUGCCAGAUGCAGUGGCUCCCACCUGUAACCUCAGUGCUUUGGGAGGCUAAGGCAGGACAAUAAUUUGAUGCCAGAAGUUCAACACCAGCCUGAGCAACAUAGUGAGACCCCCAUCUCUACAAAAAAUAUAAAAAUAAAUAGCAAAGCAUGGUGGUUUGUACUUACUGUCUCAGCUACUCAGGAGGAUGAGAUGGGAGGAUUUCCUGAGCCCAGUAGGUUGAGGCUGCAGUGAUCCAAGAUCAUGCCAUGGCACUUCAGCCUUCAGAACAAACAUAGAAGAAAUGCUUAUUCUGUAUCAUAAAUUAAACCACUGGAAGACUGCAGCACUGUUCAGUUCAGACUAUUCUUUUUUUUUUUUUUGAGACAGAGAUUUGCUCUGUCACCUAGUCUGGAGUGCAGUGAUGUGAUCUCUGCUCACUGCAACCUCCACCUGCCAGGUUGAAGUGAUUCUCCUGCCUGAGCCUCCCGUGUGGCUGGGAUUACAGGUGUGCAUCACCACGCUCAGCAAAUCUUUUGUAUUUGUAUUUAUUUUUAAUUUUUUUUUCUUUUUGAGACAGAGUCUCGCUCUGUCACCCAGACUGGAGUGCAGUGCCACUCACUAAGCUCUGCCUCCUGGGCUCAAGCAAUUCUCCUGCCUUAGCCUCCCAAGUAGCUGGGAUGGGAUUACAGGCGCCUGCCACCACACCCAGCUAAAUUCUUUGGUAAUUUUAGUAGAGAUGGGAUUUCACCAUGUUGGCCAGCCUGGUCUCAAACUCCUGACCUCAAAUGAUCUGCCCACCUCGGCCUCCCAAAGUGCUGGGAUUACAGGCGUGAGUCACCAUGCCUGGCCUCAGCAUGGCCAUUUUUAUAGUCCCACACUACUAUGGAAAGUAAAGACUACCUGAAUAUAUAUGUGUAUGUGUAUAUGUAUGUGUAUGUGUAUGUGUGUGUGUGUAUGUGUAUGUGUAUGUAUAUGUAUGCAUUCUCACAUAUGUAUCUAUCCACAAUUUAUUUUGUUUAUUUAUUUCUUGAGACAGGAUCUCACUCUGUCACGCAGGCUGGAGUGCAGCAGCGUGAUCGUGGCUCACUGCAGCCUUGACCGCCUGGGCUCAGGUGAUACUCCCAGCUGAGCCUUCCAAGUAGCUGGGACCACAGGCAUAUGCCACCACACCAAGCUAACUUUUAAAAAAUUAUUUGUAGAGACAAGGUCUUGCUAUGUUGCCCAGGCUGGUCCGGAAAUCCUGCGUUGGCCUCUCAAAGUGCUGGGAUUACAGGUGUGAGCCACCACGUCCAGCUUUCUCUGCAAUUUAAAAAAAUGCACAUGAAGUUAUGUUGUUCUUCAUCCUGCGUUUUCAUUUGUUUGUUUUUGUUUUGUUUUAAGAUAAGGUCUCACUCUGUCUCCCAAGCUGGAGUACAGCAGCAUGAUCUUGGCUCACUGCAUCCUCAGCCUCCUGGGCUCAAGCAAUCCUCCCAACUCAGCUUCCCAAGUAGCUGGGACUACAGACCUGUGCCACCAUAGUCAGCUAAUUUUUUGUAUUUUUUGUAGAGAUGAGAUUUCACCAUAUUGCCCAGGGUGGUCUUGAACUCCUGAGCUCAAGCAAUCCACCCGACUCGGCUUCCUGAAGUGCUGGGAUUACAGGCGUGAGUCACCAUGGCCAGCCUGUCUCUACAAUUUAAAACAUGUAAAUGGAGUUAUGGGAUUACAUUGUUCUUCAACUUGUCUUAUUAAAAAUUACCAGUCUUUUUUACUUUUUUAAAAAGCAUUUUCUAAAAAUACUUUUUCUUUGGAAUUGAGGUAAAAUUCACCUAACAUACAAAUAACUGUUUUAAGGUGUACAAUUCAGCGGCAUUUAGUGCAUUCACAAUGUUGUGCAAACAUUAUGUCACUGUAUUUUCAAACCGUUCUUAAUCCCUCAGGAAAACACUCCGUACUCUUCAAAUAAUCACUCCCCUUUCCCUCCUCCCCAUCCUCUGGUUACCACUCAUCUGCUUUCUGUCUCUGUACACUUGUUACUCUGGAUAUUUAAUAGAAAAGGAAUCAUAGGCCAGGUAUGGUAACCCCGUCUCUACCAAAAAUGCAAAACAUUAGCUGGGCAUGGUGGCACACACCUGUAGUCCCAGCUACUUGAGAGGCAGAGGCAGGAGAAUUGCUUGAAGCUGGGAGGGGGAGGUUGCAGUGAGCCGAGAUUGCACCACUGCACUCCAGCCUGGGUAACAGAGCAAGACUCCAUCUCAAAAAAAAAAAAGAAAAGGAAUUCUACCUAUGUGACCUUUUGUGUCUGGCUUCUUUCACUUAGUGUGUUGUGUUCUGUUUGUUUGCUUGCUUGAGACAGGGUCACCAAGACUGGAGUGCAGUGGCACGAUCCCAGCUCACUGCAAUCUCCACUUCCUGGGCCUCAAGCGAACUACAGGCACGCAUUGUCAUGCCUGGCUAAUUUUUGUAGUUUUUGUAGAGACCAGGUUUUGCCAUGUUUCCCAGGCUGGUUUCGAUCAGUGAUCCUCCCAUUUCAGCCUUCUGACGUGCUGGGAUUACAGGCCAUGUCACCCGGCCUCACUUAAUAUAUAUAUUGAGGUUCAUCUAAGUUACAGCAUGUAUCGGUACAUGUUUCAUUCCCUUUUGUGGCUGAAUAAUAUUCCAUUGUAUAGAUAUGUCACAAUUUAUCCAUUCAUCCAUUGAUGGACAGUUCAGAUUUUUUUCACCUUUUGACUGUUGAUAUAAACAUUCGUGUUUCUGUGUGGAGAUGCUUUCAGUUCUUUUGGGUGUAUACCUAGGAGGGAAAUUGCUAGGUUGCAAGGUAAUUCUAUAUCUGGACUUCAUAAAAAUUAAAAAGUUUUGUGUAUCAAAGAACAUUAUCAGACAGGCACAGUGGCUCACGCCUGUAAUUCCAGCACUUUGGGAGGCUGAGGCAGGCAGAUCACCUGAUGUCAGUAGUUUGAGACCAGCCUGGCCAACAUGGCAAAACCCUGUCUCUACUAAAAAUACAAAAAUUAGCUGUGUGUGGUGGUGAAUGCCUGUAAUCCCAGCUACUCAGGAGGCUGAAGCAGGAGAAUCACUUGAACCCAGGAGGCAGAGGUUGCAGUGAGCCAAGAUCGUGGCACUUCACUCCAGCCUGGGCAACAGGGUGAGAUGCUGUCUCAAAAAGAAAAAAAAAAAAAAAAAAGAACAUUAGCGAUGUGGAUGAAUCUGGAAACCAUCAUUCUUAGCAAACUGACACAAGAGCAGAAAACCAAACACUGCAUGUUCUUACUCAUAGGCAGGUGUUGAACAAUGAGAACACAUAGGCACAGGGAAGAGAACAUCACAAACUGGGGCUUGUUGAGGGGUGGGGAGCUAGGGCAGGGGCAGCAAGGGGAUGGAGAGGUUGGGGAGGAUUAACAUUGGGAGAAAUGCCUGAUGUAGGUGACGGGGAGAUGGAGACAGCAAACCACCAUGGCAUGUGUGUACCUAUGCAACAGUCCUGCAAGAUCUGCACAUGUGAUCCAGCGAGCCCGAGCACCUUCUCUGUACCAGGGACCAGGGAAGCCCCACCCACCUGAAGCCAAGGUGUCCAGCAAGCGGGCCAAAGCCAAGACCACCAAGAAGCGGCCACAGUGGGCCACAUCCAAUGUCUUCGCAAUGUCUGAUCAGUCCCAAAUCCAGGAGUUUAAGGAGGCUUUUUUUUUUUUUGAGACGGAGUUUUGCUCUUGUUACCCAGGCUGGAGUGCAAUGGUGCGAUCUCAGCUCACCGCAACCUCCGCCUCCUGGGUUCAGGCAAUUCUCCUGCCUCAGCCUCCUGAGUAGCUGGGAUUAUAGGCAUGCGCCACCACGCCCAGCUAAUUUUUUUUUUUUGUAUUUUUACAAAAUACAAAAAUACAAAAAGAGACGGGGUUUCACCAUGUUGACCAGGAUGGUCUCCAUCUCUUGAUCUCGUGAUCCACCCGCCUCAGCCUCCCAAAGUGCUGGGAUUACAGGCAUGAGCCACCGCGCCCAGCUAAGGAGGCUUUCAACAUGAUCAACCAGAACCGUGAUGGCUUCAGUGACAAGGAGGACCUGCACGACAUGCUGGCCUCGCUGGGGAAGAACCCUACAGACGAAUACCUGGAGGGCAUGAUGAUCGAGGCCCCAGGGCCCAUCAACUUCACCAUGUUCCUCACCAUGUUUGGGGAGAAGCUCAAUGGCACAGACCCCGAGGACGUGAUCUGCAAUGCCUUUGCCCGCUUCGCCGAAUAAGCCUCAGGUUUCAUCCAUGAGGACCACCUCCUGGAGCUGCUGACCACCAUGGGUGAUCGCUUCAUAGAUGAGGAAAUGGACGAGAUGUACCGGGAGGCACCCACUGACAAGAAAGGCAACUUCAACCAUGUGGAGUUCACCCGCAUCAUCAAACAUGGUGCCCAGGACAAAGACGAUUAGUCCACCCAGCCUCCUGACACCCCAGCCCCUGCCAGUCACCCCUCCCCACACACACUCAUCCAUACCAGCUCCUUGCCCAUGACCCUCGCUCAGGGAUCCCCCCCUUUGAGGGGCUAGGGUCCCAGCUCCCAUGGAGGAAACAGGCCAGGAGAAGCAUGUGCUGGGCUGAGGCAGGUGUUCCCACCAUGACCCCAGAGCCCUGGGCUGGAGUCUCUGACCCCUCCAAGGAAAGACCACCUUCUGGGAACAUGGGUUGGAGGGUAGGACCCGGAGGCACCGAGGAAAGGCCCCGUUCCUGGGCUGCUCCCCGAGGAGGAAGGGGCCCUGAGUCCUGGGAUCAACACCACUUCAGGAGCAUCCCCACACAAACAGAAGUUCACCAAGACCCUAUCCCUACACCCUGACAGGCCACUGCUGCACACCCACCCAGAGCACGCCACCCGCCAUGGGAGCAUGCUCAGGAGUCGCAGGCAGCAUGGACAUCUGCCCCAAAGGAGGCAGAAUCUCCAAUACAGGGCUGAGCACUGAAAAAAAAAAAAAAUCUGUACAUGUACCCCCAGAACUUAAAGUACAAUUAAAAAAAUAUAUAUAUCAAGAAUGUUAUCAGGCUGGGUACAGUGGCUCACACAUGUAAUCCCAGAACUUUGGGAGGCCAAGGCUUGAAGAUUGCUUGAGUUCAGAAGUUUGAGACCAGCCUGGGCAACAUAGUGAGACCUCCAUCUCUACAAAAUAAAAAUAAAAAUUAGCCAGGCAUUGUGGCAUGUGCCUAUAGUCCCAGCUACUCGGGAAGUCUUGACCCUGGGAGAACAAGGCCAUAGUGAGCCGUGAUCACACCACUGCACUCCAUCCUCGGUGACAGAGUGAGACCCUGUCUCAAAACAAAGAAAAAAAAAAUUCCAUCCACUUGGGAGACUGAGGUAAGAGAAUCACCUGAACUGAGGAUGUUGAGGCUGCAGUGAGCCAUGACUGCACCACUGUACACCAGCCUGGGCAACAGAAUGAGACACUGUCUCACCAAAGAAAAAAAGGAAAAAAAAAUCAGUGGGCUAGGUCAGACGAGGUGCUGGGAUUACAGGCUUGAGCCCAGUGACUAUUUUCUUUCUCUUUCUUUUCUUUCUUUAGAUGGAGUUUCUAUCUUGUUGCCCAAGCUGGAGUGCAGUGGUGAGAUCUAGGCUCACUGCAACCUCCGCCUCCUGUUUUCAAGCAAUUAUCUCACUUCAGCCUUCCAAGUAGGCACCUGCCACCAUGCCCAGCUAAUUUUUGUAUUUUUAGUAGAGACGGGGUUUCACCGUGUUUACCAGGAUGGUCUCGAUCUCUUGACCUUGUGAUCCACCUGCCUCGGCCUCCCAAAGUGCUGGGAUUACAAGCGUGAGCCACCGCGCCCAGCCAGAAGAGAAUCUUUGUUCUAACAAAGCUUACAGUCUGGUGCAAGCAAUAGACAUUCAUUCUCAUUCUACAGGUUUAUUGAGCAGCUACUCUGUGCCAGGUGCAUAACACCCAUGGGAAGAGCCAGCCUAUUAGGAUGAGAAAAAUGUCAGGACUGGGACUUCCCUGUGAGACUUCCCUGACCUGGUCCUGGGAAAUCUGGGUGGGUCAGUUCCCUGUCCUUGCUUAUCGGUAUCCCCAUCAAGAAAAUGUGAGCAGCUGGGCCAGACUCUCUCCUUUCCCACUGAGCGUCCACCAGUCUGUGCUGCUUUGGCUUUUGGAAGGUAGGAGUCUCUGGCCUGAGGAGCCAUUUGUCUCUGCACAGAGCCUCCCUUGUCCCACAGUGGCAGAGAGUACAGGCUUUGAAGUCUGAGCCCUGAGUUCAAAUAUUGGCUUUGCUACUUGUUAGCUGUGGCCUUGGAUGUGUGCCUUAGCCUUUUUUGGGGGUGGUGGUUGGGGAGGGGCAUGGUCUUGCCCUGUCACUCAGGCUAGAGUGCAGUGGAGCGAUCAUGGCUCACUGCAGCGAUCAUGGCUCACUGCAGCCUCAACCUCCCAGGCUCAAGCAAUUCUCCCACCUCAGCCUCCUGAGUAGCUGGGACUACAGGUGUGCACCACCACUCCCAGAUAAUUUUUAACUUUUUGUAGAGACAGGGUCUCACUAUGUUGCCCAGGCUGGUCUCGAGCUACUGGGCUCAAGCGAUCCUCCUUCCUUGGCCUCCCUUGCAGGGUAAACCACUGUACCUGGCCACUUUGCCUCUCGAAGGAAACUUUCUUGUAGGAUUAAAAGUGGGCUGGGCGUGGUGACUCACACUUGUAAUCCCAGCACUUUGGGAGGCCCAGGUGGGCGGAUCAUGAGGUCAGGCCUGGCCAACACAGUGAAACCCCAUCUCUAUGAAAAAUACAAAAAUUAGUUGGGUAUGGUGGUGCCUGCCUAUAGUCCCAGCUACAGGAGGCUGAGUCACAAGAAUCACUUGAACCUGGGAAGUGGAGGUUGCAGUGAGUUGAGAUCUCGACACUGCACUCCAGCCUGGGUAACAGAUCAAGACUUUGUUUAAAAAUAAAUAAACAAGGCUGCGCGUGGUGGCUCACACCUAUAAUCCCAGCACUUUGGGAGGCCGAGGCGGGAGGAUCAUGAGGUCAAGAGAUCAAGACCAUACUGGCCAACAAGGUGAAACCACGUCUCUACUAAAAAUACAAAAAUUAGCUGGGCAUGGUGGUGCACACCUGUAGUCCCAGCUAUUCGGGAGGCUGAGGCAGGAGAAUUGCUUGAAUCCAGAAGGCGGAGGUUGCAGUGAGCCGAGAUCGCGCCAUUGCACUCCAGCCUGGGUAACAACAGCGAAACUUCGUCUCAAAAAAUAAAUAAAUAAAUAAAUAAUAAAAUUGUUGGGAGUUGGGGGGAAGGAUGGGAACCUAAAAAAAAGAGAGAGGAUUAAAAAAAUUUUUUUUUAAGUGAUGGGAGCUGACUUCAAAUAGUCAAAAUCAGAGAAGGCAAAUGGGCUGAGCUAUGGGUCAGAGAGUAAAAGGAUGUAAUUGCUUAAUGGGUCAGAGUUUCAGUUUUACAAGAUGAAAACAAUUCUAAAAACUGUAUACCUGGUUAAGAUGGUAAUGUUUAUGAUAUGUGUAUGUUACCAAGAUUUGUAAAAUGAAAAGCACUUUUAAGUGAUGGGACUUGUAGGGCUCCGUGGGGCACCUAGCACAGGAAGGAGUGCAGUGAAUGAAAGGUCACUGCCAGGGCUGUUGAGGGUCUGACUAGAGAAGGCCUGCUUCCUAGAAAAGGGUUGAGGUGCAGGGCAUUGGAGAGAGGUGUGCCUGGGAGAUCAGGGGUCCUGCCUUAAGUGGGGACCUGGACCAGCACCCUCCCUGCCAUGGGCCUCCUCUGUGAAGUGAGGAGUCCCCUCCCAGGGCCGAGAAGUUGCCCUGUGACUAGCGCCAGGGAGCCCAAAGCCUCGAGGAGGGGAGGUGGGUGGGUGGGUGGUCUUCUUGCGCCCCCUGCUGGUAAACUCGGGAACAACACAUCCACAAGCCCCAAGGUUGCUUCCAAUCAACCUGGCCAAGUUGUUGGGUUUAGGCAGCCCACGUGGCCCUCUGUACCCUUCCUGCCCUUGGCUCAGACCCCUCCAGGGCUUCUCCAUCCCACCCUCCCUCCCAAGUUCCUGGAAACUGCCUUCACCACACCCAUAAGCUCAUAGACACAGAAACGGAGAUGUGUGCACACGCUCGGGUGCAAACACUCAUAUUUGGGGUUUUUUCCUUUUUUUGUGGAGAAAGGGUCUUGUUAUGUUACCUUGACUGGUCUUGAACUCCUGAACUUAAGCAAUCUACUCACCUCAGCCUCCCAAAAUGCUGGGAUUACAGGUGUGAGCCACCAUGCCCAGCCUCCAUGGAUUAUUAUUAUCUGUUUCAUACAUAGAGAAAUUGAUGUUCAGAGAGGUAAAGUGGCUUGCCUCAGUUCACACAGCAGCCAAGGACAUCAAAGCCUGUGUUCUAAUCCUUUCCCUAUUUCUCACUCACUGCCCUCCUCCGUGGGUGUCUACUUAGGGCCUGAUUGUGGGUGUGAUAGUAGAACGGACCUACCCCGUGGAGGGUGCAAUAUAGCAUUCCCUCCUGUGCCAGUCUUACCUGGGCACACAUGCCCCCAGUGCACUGCCAGUCCCCUGCAGUGGAAGCCACUCCUGGGCACUGCCAGUCCCCUGCAGUGGAAGCCACUCCUGGUUUCCAGUACUAGCCUCAAGGCUGCAAGACCGUUUAAGCAUAUCCGUGUCCAGCCCAGGUACCACCCAGCUCCUUGCCCCCCGUGGGGCCAGUGCUCUGGGCACACAAAGGGCACUGCCUUUCCUGAGAACUGGCAGUGCCCAGAGAAGGCAAGGGGCCAAGCUUGGGGCAGGGGAGAGAAGAGGGCCGCAGCUGGGCUCUGUUUCUCCUGAGUUUCUAUGCUGUGCUGGCACCAGGUGUACAGUCUACUAUAAGGCCUGCAGGAGCUCAGUACAAAUGUUGAUAUUUUGGCAUGAUAGGAAUUGCCUCACCUAUUAAUGAGGGUAAGGAUAGCACUUGCUUUACAGAACUGUUGAAGGGAUCCAGUGACAAAAGUAUUGGGACAGAGUGAGUCCUAGUAAAUUAGAAAUGAUUGCAUUAUUGAUAUUCUCAACCAGGUGGCUCACAUUUAUAAUCCCAGCACUGGGAGGCUGCGGCAGGAGGAUCCAUUGAGCCCAGGAGUUUGAGACAAGCCUGGGCAACAUUGUGAAACCACAUCUCUACAAAAAAUACAAAAACUAGCUGGGCAUGGUGGUGCGCACCUGUGGUCCGAGCUACUCUGGUCACCAUUAUCUGGUGAGAUGAUGAAGGCAGGACUUAGGAUGUUGUCAUGUUAGGAAAAAAGAUUGAUAUGAUAGACAGAGUCUGAUGUAGGGGAGAGUGUCAGAGAGAAUUGACCUACCAGGCAACCAUUGUUUUUUUUUUUUUUGAGAUGGAGUUUCACUCUUGUUACCCAGGCUGGAGUGCAAUGGCGCGAUCUUGGCUCACUGCAACCUCCGCCUCCUGGGUUCAGGCAAUUCUUCUGCCUCAGCCUCCUGAGUAGCUGGGAUUACAGGCAUGUGCCACCGUGCCCAGCUAAUUUUUUGUAUUUUUAGUAGAGACAGGGUUUCACCAUGUUGACCAGGAUGGUCUCGAUCUCUUGACCUUGUGAUUUACCCGCCUCGGCCUCCCAAAGUGCUGGGAUUACAGGCGUGAGCCACCGCGCCCGGCCUGCAACCAUUGGUUUUUAAGUCAGCGGUCGGAAGGCAGCAGAGUGGGGUCCUGGUAGGAUGAAAUCCAGCUCCUCCUCUAGUCCUGGAGGAGCUGGCAGGAUGUUGGGUCCAGGACAGGAAAUGGCUAAUCUAAAGGAACCCUUUGGCCCAGGAUGGUUCCCAUCCCAACAAAACCCCUACAUUUUGGCUAGCGGACAGUUGGUCUCUAUAGAACAGGCAGAGGGCACAGGGUGCCUCCCAUGACCAGCCCUGGGCUUGGGCCACUUGUCCCUUUAGCUGAGUGCCAUGAGCUUAAAGCACCAGACUCCCUCCCUUAAGGUGACACCAAGGAAUGUCCCUCCUGGGAUGGUGGUAACACUACCAUUUGUUGCUCAAAGCACAGGUACUUAGUUUCAGGGGUCAGAGUACAUUCUUCAGGCCUCUCCUGGGAACCACUCUCAAAUCUAAGGAAUUGGAGGGUAACCUCUGGCAUCCCCUUGUGCAUUAGACCGUUCUCCCACUGCUGUAAAGAACUGCCCGAGACUGGGUAGUUUAUAAAGGAAAGAGGUUUAAUUGACUCACCGUUCCUCAUGGCUGGGGAGGCAUCAGGAAACUUACAAUCAUGGCAAAAGGGAAAGCAAACACAUCCUUCUUCACAUUGCAGCUUGAGAGAAAAGCGCUGAGCAAAGCGGGGACAGCUCUUUAUAAAACCAGCAGAUCUUGUGAGAACUCACUCAUUAUCGUGCAUACAGCAGCAUGGGGGUAACCACCCCAUGGUUCAGUUACCUCUCACCAGGUCCCUCCCAGGACAUGUGGGGAUUAUGAGAACUACAGUUCAAGAUGAGAGUUGGGUGGAGAUGUAGCCCAACCAUAUUGCCUUGUAUUGGAUUCCUAGGGCUGCUGGAACAAACAAUUGUAUUGCGCUUGGCAAGUAUCUCGGUCUUUAUAAAUUGAAGCUUUGUGAGAACCUUGCAUCAAGCAAGUCAACUGGUGCCAUUUUUCCAACAGAAUAUGCUCCCUUAGGGUCUGUGUGUCAUAUUUUGUUAAUUCCCACAAUAUUUUGAACUUUAUUAUUAUUAUAUCUGAUAUGGUGAUCUGUGAUCAGUGAUCUUUGAUAUUAAUUUUGUGUUUGUUUUGGGGAACCACAAACCAUGCCCAUAUAAGAUGGUAAACUUUAUAAAUGUGUGUGGGCCAGAGGCAGUGGCUCACGACUGUAAUCCUAGCACUUUGGGAGACUGAAGCAGGAGGAUCACUUGAACCCAGGAAUUCUAGGCCAGCCUGGGCAACAUAGUGAGACCCCAUCUCUACAAAAAAGAAAAAAAUUAGCUGGGUGUGGUGGCACAUGCCUGUGGUCCCAGCUACUUGGGAGGAUACUGUGGGAGGAUCAUCUGAGCUCAGGGAGGUUAAGGCUGCAGUGAGUCAUGGUUGUGUCACUGCACUCCAGCCUGGGUGACAAAGUGAGACCUUGUCUCAAAACACACACACACAGAAAAAAAAAAAUCCAAAAACCCAAACAACCAGCUAACUCCUUCAUGGAAUUUUCUAAUGCGUACGAGUGAGCCUGAGUAUUUGUGUACUGAAAAACACUGGCAGGCUAGAAACUCCCUUCCCUUUAGGUCUCCUCCUUUAAAGUCAGAGCGUUACACUGACAGUUACAGAAGUACGUGACUCAGUAAGUUUUGUUGGCCAUCUGGUUUUUGGUCUGUCACGUAAGGAACUUGGAAGUUGUCAUUCCAUUCUCACAAGAAAAAACCUGAACAAGGCCAGGUGCAGUGGCUCACACCUGUAAUCCCAGCACUUUGGGAGGCCGAGGCGGGUGGAUCACCUGAGGUUAGGAGUUCAAGACCGUCCUGGGCAACAUGGUGAAACCCUGUCUCUACUAAAAAUACAAAAAAUAAGCUGGACGUGUGGCAGGUGCCUGUAAUCCUAGCUACUAGGGAGGCUAAGGCAGGAUAAUUGCUUGAACCUGGGAGGUGGAGGUUGCAGUGAGCCAAGAUCACACCAUUGCACUCUCCAGCCUGGGAGAAGCUGAAUAAACUGAAAAACCAGCAGCUCUUUUUCAAUUCAUCAGAAGAAGAGGUCACAGGGUAAUCUGCUGCUCCCAAACUGGAGAGUCUGAAAGGUAGAUACAGGCCAAGCACGGUGGCUCCUGCCUCUAAUCCCAGCAUUUUGGGAGGCCGAGGCGGGCGGAUCACGAGGUCAAGAGAUUGAGGCCAUCCUGGCCAAAAUGGUGAAACCCCGUCUCUAACUAAAAGAUACAAAAAUUAGCUGGGCAUGGUGGUGCACACCUGUAGUCACAGCUACUCAGGAGGCUGAGGCAGGAGAAUUGCUUGAACCCAGGAGGCGGAAAUUGCAGUGAGCUGAGAUUGCGCCACUACACUCCAGCUUGGCACCUGGCGACAGAGCAGAGCAAGAUUCUGUCUAAAAAAAAAAAAAAGAAAGAUAGGUAGAUACAGAGAAU